ACCCAAACUGGCAAAUAACAAAGGUUAUAUCAUAACGAGAAUACAAUGCUUUCAAACAUUUUCAUAUUCGUCCACUUUUCAUGUUCGCUUAUCAACUUUGGAAAAACUAAUGACAUCGUGGUAAACUCCACCAUUAACCCAGUGUGGGCUUCCUUGAUGUUCAUUAUUCCCUUGGAUCUGCCUCAUAACUACUUCUCGGAAAUUUCAUUAUGCAGACAGAGCAGCACAUAUUACUGCUUAUUUGCGUUUGUUACUCAAAGUGACGCCCAGACUUUGUCGGAACUGAUAAACAACCCGGCUAUCAGAGCGACAAAUAGAAACGCUGGACUUGUUCAAGGUCUUCAAAUGCUAAAGGAGAGUUCUCUGAACGAAAGUGAGAAGUUGUACAGGCCAGUAUACGAAAUGCAUAACCUUUAUGUCGGAACAGACGGGUGUUGUGAAGGCCAAAAUUAUUACUAUUUCCAUCACGGUUACACAAACGCAUUGCUCACUCCCAGGGAAUACUUAACAAAACUGACAGACUAUUCUGAAGGUGACAAGCGCUUGAAUUUCAUUGUUUCUUAUUACUCCCUUGAGUGUAAUACUAACAUGAUAACCAAACUCGGUUUCGGAAUUGGGAGCCUCAAACGCGCAAAUCAAUCAGAUGUUGUUAGAUUUGAGAGACCUGGGGCCCCUUAUCAACUGAAAGUUGGACACCAAUGGAGUGCUCAAAUUCCGUAUGAUAACCCUGAUGAUUUUUUGUCUUUUCAUUGGUUCAAACACCAAGUCAUGUGUCAAGAGCAGCCUUGGAUUUGCGGUCAAGAAGACAGAGUUAUUCAGAAUUGGUUCCCUGGUUGGUGGGAGCUACUAUCUUCAGAUCAUGUAAACUAGUUUAUUUUUAUCAUGAUACAAACUAUAGAAGAAAAAAAUUGUAUUCAGUCGCUUUUAAGCUCAUAUAUAAGAUCUCAAAAAAAUGCAAAAAAAAUCCACAGCACGCUGAAAAAAUUCCGAAAUGAUUUUGCUGUCUCGGCGUCGAGGGCGGGGUGUUUUCGUUUUUUCAGACCAACUUUGGCUAUGGAAAAAUUUGUUUUUGUCGGAAAUUUUUCAAACCCUAUUGAAAACAUCGACGCCUUGAGCUAAAAUAGUAAUAACAGUU